rnacentral:rRNA from 1 species
AUUGAACGCUGGCGGAAUGCUUUACACAUGCAAGUCGAACGGCAGCACGGGGCAACCUGGUGGCGAGUGGCGAACGGGUGAGUAAUACAUCGGAACGUGCCCAAUCGUGGGGGAUAACGUAGCGAAAGAUACGCUAAUACCGCAUACGAUCUACGGAUGAAAGCGGGGGAUCGCAAGACCUCGCGCGAAUGGAGCGGCCGAUGUCAGAUUAGGUAGUUGGUGGGGUAAAGGCUCACCAAGCCAACGAUCUGUAGCUGGUCUGAGAGGACGACCAGCCACACUGGAACUGAGACACGGUCCAGACUCCUACGGGAGGCAGCAGUGGGGAAUUUUGGACAAUGGGCGCAAGCCUGAUCCAGCCAUUCCGCGUGCAGGAUGAAGGCCUUCGGGUUGUAAACUGCUUUUGUACGGAACGAAACGGCGAGCUCUAAUACAGUUUGCUAAUGACGGUACCGUAAGAUAAGCA